CGCCCUUGGUUACCUUGUUACGACUUCACCCCAGUCANNANNCACAAAGUGGUAAGCGCCCUCCCGAANNNUAAGCNANCUACUUCUUUUGCAACCCACUCCCAUGGUGUGACGGGCGGUGUGUACAAGGCCCGGGAACGUAUUCACCGUGGCAUUCUGAUCCACGAUUACUAGCGAUUCCGACUUCAUGGAGUCGAAGUUGCAGACUCCCAAUCCGGACUACGACAUACUUUAAUGAGGUCCGCUUGSUCUCGCGAGGUCGCUUCUCUUUGUAUAUGCCCAUUGUAGCAMSGUGUUGUAGCCCCCUACUCGGUAAGGGCCAUGAAUGACUUGGACGUCAAUCCCCACCUUNCCUCCAGUUUAUCACUUGGCAGUCUCCUUUUGAGUUCCCGGCCGAACCGCUGGCAACAAAAGGAUAANGGGUUGCGCCUCGUUGCGGGACUUUAACCCAACAUUUCACAACACGAAGCUGACGACAAGCCAUGCAGCACCUGUCUMAGAAGUUCCCGAAGGCACCAAAGCAUCUCUGCUUAAGUUCUCUGGGAUGUCAAGAGUAGGUAAAGGGUUCUUNNCGCGUUGCAUUCGAAUUAAACCACAUGCUCCACCGGCUUGUGCGGGCCCCCGUCAAUUCAUUUUGAGUUUUAACCUKGCGGCCGUACUCCCCAGGCGGUCGACUUAANCCGCGUUAGCUCCGGAAGCCACGCCUCAAGGGCACAACCUCCAAGUCGACAUCGUUUACGGGGUGGGACUACCAGGGUAUCUAAUCCUGUUUGCUCCUCCUNACGUANUUUCAGCACCUGAGCGUCAGUCUUUGUCCAGGGGGCCGCCUUCGCCACCGGUAUUCCUCCAGAUCUCUACGCAUUUNNNNGGUACACNUGGAAUNNUNCCCCCCUNNNNNNGNUCCAGCCU
rnacentral:rRNA from 1 species